CCAAUAGCGUAUAUUAAAGUUGUUGCAGUUAAAAAGCUCGUAGUUGAAUUUUGGGUCUGGCCGGGCGGUCCGCCCUCUGGGUGAGCACUGUUCCGACGUCGGGCCUAUCCUUCUGGUGAGUCGGCAUGUCCUUUAUUGGGUGUGUCGGGGAACCAGGACCAUUACCUUGAAACAAUUAGAGUGUUCAAAGCAGGCGUAUGCUCGGAUACAUUAGCAUGGAAUAAUGAAAUAGGACGCGUGGUGCUAUUUUGUUGGUUUCUAGAACCGCCGUAAUGAUUAAUAGGGAUAGUUGGCGGCAUUAGUAUUCAAUUGUCAGAGGUGAAAUUCGUGGAUUUAUUGAAGACUAACUUCUGCGAAAGCAUUUGCCAAGGAUGUUUUCAUUAAUCAAGAACGAAAGUUAGGGGAUCGAAGACGAUCAGAUACCGUCGUAGUCUUAACCAUAAACUAUGCCGACUAGGAAUCGGGCGAUGUUAUUCUCAUGACUCGCCCGGCGCCUUAUG
rnacentral:rRNA from 1 species